GUUGAUAAACGGUUAAGCAAACGUGUUGAUUCAUGUGUCGCGUUGACUCGCAUCAUUUCAAGAAUUCAAUAAAAUAUUCAGUUUGGUUUAGCUGUAAGAAUCGUGAUGACAUCUGAACUGUUUUGAAUUGACCGUCUGUUCCAUGUUGUGACGUCAAAUGGGGGAACUUUUCCAUUGGGUCGUCGAAAAACUUGCGUGUAACACAUCUAUGGCCGUAUGCCUAGGGCUGGGAUUGCAAAGCAGCAUUUAGGGGCCGGUAUACUACCGAGAACAAAAUUUUAUUAUAAUGUAUUAAUAUAAGAUGUUAUAAUUAUACUCUUCGGAAACUUGAUAAAGUAGUUAGUAUACACUGACGCCUGAACACUUGUACUAGAACUAUUUAGGGCAUAUCAAAUAAACUGAAACUGAAAUUUCGUA